UACGUAGGGGGCAAGCGUUGUCCGGAAUCAUUGGGCGUAAAGCGCGUGUAGGCGGCCAGAUAAGUCCGCUGUGAAAUCUCGAGGCUCAACCUCGAGACGUCGGUUGAAACCCGUAUGGCUAGAGUCCGGAAGAGGAGAGUGGAAUUCCCGGUGUAGCGGUGAAAUGCGCAGAUAUCGGGAAGAACACCAAUUCGAAGCAGCUCGCUGGACGUUACUGACGCUGAGACGCGAAAGCGUGGGGAG
rnacentral:rRNA from 1 species